rnacentral:rRNA from 1 species
UCGGACGUCUGGCGUACGCUUAACUACCAACUAUGAACUGGUACGGACAAGGGGAAUCUGACUGUCUAAUUAAAACAUAGCAUUGCGAUGGCCAGAAAGUGGUGUUGACGCAAUGUGAUUUCUGCCCAGUGCUCUGAAUGUCAAA